rnacentral:SRP_RNA from 1 species
CCCAGGCGUGGUGGCGCACGCCUGUAAUCCCAGCUACUUGGGAGGCUGAGGCAGGAGAAUCGCUUGAACCCAGGAGGUGGAGGUUGCAGUGAGCCGAGGUCACAUCACUGCACUCCAGCCUGGGUGACAGAGUGAGACUCUGUCUCAA